rnacentral:piRNA from 1 species
UAAAUUGGAGGCUACAUAGCAUGUGU